UUACCUUCUGUUGUUUCCUUCAGAACUUGUAAAACUUUGAUUUCAACCAGUGUGUAAUAAAUUGUUAAAUCCAUUUGUGGAUCGGUUGUAUUCUCUAGAAACACUCACCUUCGUGUGAGCUAUGCUAACUCGGUCCUGUCAAGUGGUUAAAUCGGAUGAAAUUCGACGGCACAUCGAGUUAACUUAAUUAAGGCAUGAGGAUCGCGUGUUAAGCGACUUAACCGUGCUUUAGUUGAGUUAAUCCGAGGUGUUCUGCUACAGCUGGUACCAGAGCUAGUUUAGCAGGACAGAGAACAC
rnacentral:lncRNA from 1 species